rnacentral:rRNA from 1 species
CCUACGGGCGGCAGCAGUCGAGAAUCAUUCACAAUGGGGGAAACCCUGAUGGUGCGACGCCGCGUGGGGGAAUGAAGGUCUUCGGAUUGUAAACCCCUGUCAUGUGGGAGCAAAUUAAAAAGAUAGUACCACAAGAGGAAGAGACGGCUAACUCUGUGCCAGCAGCCGCGGUAAUACAGAGGUCUCAAGCGUUGUUCGGAAUCACUGGGCGUAAAGCGUGCGUAGGCUGUUUCGUAAGUCGUGUGUGAAAGGCGGGGGCUCAACCCGCGGACGGCACAUGAUACUGCGAGACUAGAGUAAUGGAGGGGGAACCGGAAUUCUCGGUGUAGCAGGGAAAUGCGUAGAUAUCGAGAGGAACACUCGUGGCGAAGGCGGGUUCCUGGACAUUAACUGACGCUGAGGCACGAAGGCCAGGGGAGCGAAAGGGAUUAGAUACCCUUGUAUC